rnacentral:rRNA from 1 species
GACGAACGCUGGCGGCGUGCUUAACACAUGCAAGUCGAACGGAAAGGCCCUGCUUUUGUGGGGUGCUCGAGUGGCGAACGGGUGAGUAACACGUGAGUAACCUGCCCUUGACUUUGGUAUAACUUCAGGAAACUGGGGCUAAUACCGGAUAGGAGCUCCUGCUGCAUGGUGGGGGUUGGAAAGUUUCGGCGGUUGGGGAUGGACUCGCGGCUUAUCAGCUUGUUGGUGGGGUAGUGGCUUACCAAGGCUUUGACGGGUAGCCGGCCUGAGAGGGUGACCGGCCACAUUGGGACUGAGAUACGGCCCAGACUCCUACGGGAGGCAGCAGUGGGGGAUAUUGCACAAUGGGCGGAAGCCUGAUGCAGCAACGCCGCGUGCGGGAUGACGGCCUUCGGGUUGUAAACCGCUUUCGCCUGUGACGAAGCGUGAGUGACGGUAAUGGGUAAAGAAGCACCGGCUAACUACGUG